rfam:Ictidomys tridecemlineatus contig053946, whole genome shotgun sequence.
UGGGUUGUGGCUCAAUGGUAGAGCACUCACCUAGAAUGUGUGAGGCAUUGGGUUCGAUCCUCAGCACCACAU